GAUGAAGAACGCAGCGAAAUGCGAUAAGUAAUGUGAAUUGCAGAAUUCAGUGAAUCAUCGAAUCUUUGAACGCACAUUGCGCCCGCCAGUAUUCUGGCGGGCAUGCCUGUCUGAGCGUCAUUUCAACCCUCAAGCAACUUCUGCUUGGUGUUGGGGAUCGGCCGUCAAACGCCGCCCCCGAAAUCUAUUGGCGAUCUCGCUGUAGCUUCCUAUGCGUAGUAGUAACAUCUCGCAUCUGGAGAGCGGCGCGGUCAUGCCGUAAAACACCCAGCUUCUCAGGUUGACCUCAGAUCAGGUAGGAAUACCCGCUGAACUUAAGCAUAUCAAUAAGCGGAGGA
rnacentral:misc_RNA from 1 species